rnacentral:tRNA from 1 species
GGAAGCGUAGCGGUGCCGGUGUGCCGCCUGGACUUCAAAUCCAGUGACCGACGCUAGAAACGUCGGUGGUGGGUUCGACUCCCACACGCUUCCGCCA